AACGAACGCUGGCGGCGCGCCUAAUACAUGCAAGUCGAGCGAGAAGACGUAGCAAUACGUUUGUAAAGCGGCGAACGGGUGAGGAAUACAUGGGUAACCUACCCUCGAGUGGGGAAUAACUAGCCGAAAGGUUAGCUAAUACCGCGUACGCUCCUUGGACUUCGGUUCAGGGAGGAAAGCGAUACCGUGGGUAUCGCGCUCUUGGAUGGGCUCAUGUCCUAUCAGCUUGUUGGUGAGGUAACGGCUCACCAAGGCUUCGACGGGUAGCUGGUCUGAGAGGACGAUCAGCCACACUGGCACUGCGACACGGGCCAGACUCCUACGGGAGGCAGCAGUAAGGAAUAUUGCGCAAUGGGCGAAAGCCUGACGCAGCGACGCCGCGUGGGGGAUGAAGGUCUUCGGAUUGUAAACCCCUUUCGGGAGGGAAGAUGGAACGAGCAAUCGUUCGG
rnacentral:rRNA from 1 species